rnacentral:lncRNA from 10 species
AGUGCUCACUCCAGGCCACAGACUCCGACCGGAACUGACAGCGCGGCCUCCAGGAUUGAAGCCAUCCCUGGCUUGAAGUAGCCUAAGGAGAUUUGCUAGUUUGAGUCCUGGGAGAUGAGAUGGGGAAGAUGGGCCCAAGCUGCAACAUGAAGGUCCAUGAUGAACAGUUGGCAUCUCCUACAGUGCCUGCCACUUGCAAAGCUGCAGAUCCCUGAGGCCAAGGCUGAUGAAAGAUGUGGGUAGCCGAUUCUGUCCUGUGACCUGGAGGCUCUGAAUUUGUGAUUGAAGAGAUCCUGCACAGUCCUCUCCCCUGUCAUAUCAGGCAUCUGCAAGGCAUUCUAAGGACCUCUAGGAGCACACAGUUCAAUCCAGCAACCUCUACUAAGGGUCACAAAUGCCUAUGUCCAAGUCUAUGCUGGCCCUGUCAAAGUCCCGUCUCUGCUCUGCCCCCAGGGUCUUACGGGCUACAAAUGGGACAACUUUUUAAAUACUCACACAUGUUGUGAUCAUUUGUAAGUCCAAGUCACAAAAACAGCAGAAGUAGAAAGUUUUACCUUAGAG